UACAGAGGGUGCGAGCGUUAAUCGGAGUUACUGGGCGUAAAGGGCGCGUAGGCGGUUAUAUAAGUGAGAUGUGAAAUCCCUGGGCUUAACCUAGGAACUGCAUCUCAUACUGUAUGACUGGAGUAUUGUAGAGGGUAGUGGAAUUUCCGGUGUAGCGGUGAAAUGCGUGGAGAUCGGAAGGAACACCAGUGGCGAAGGCGGGUCGCUGGGAAACAACUGACGCUGAGGAACGAAAGCGUGGGUAGCAAACAGG
rnacentral:rRNA from 1 species